ACGUGGUAUUGAUUAACUGCAUAGAAUAUAAUAACUCCUUCCACCGAGCCACGCCUCAGAAAUUAGCUAGUCACCCUACAUUGCGGUUUGCGGAAGAAAUUCUCCUGCAGAAGUCAUCCUCUCAAUAAUUUUUGAAGGAGUAAUACGCAAAGAUAUACGAGACUGAACGAAGGCAAAAGCAACUCCAAUAGCUCAGAAGUAUUGCAGAGGAUCAAAAUUGAACAAUAUCUGGAUUCUACGUCCAAAAAAGAUAUAUGGAUUUCAACAAAGCUUAAUAUGAUCAUUAAACAUUUGACAUCCGAAUUGAAACGCUCUUCCAUUGGUACUUCCUGUUUUUCUUCAAAUCCGACGAUUCGUUCUACUUGGAUAGUAGAAAUGUCUGAACGUCAACGAGCGUAGGAAAUGGAAACGUUUACCUCUUCAGUCUUAUAUUUCAAUGAGAUUUUAUCAUGGCGACGAGAAUAUAUCUAUUGAUGAGUUUCAUUGAAGCAUAUUGAAGAAGAAGAGUGUUUCAAGAGGCAGUUGAAAAUUAUAGCAAAGGAAGGAACAAUGUUAGCUAUUGUUCAUGUAUGCUUUAUGUGAUUGUGAAUACCUAGGAAGAGGAAAAAGAAGAAAAUACGAACGUGCUUGAUGAUGAAGUUUCGAAAGACCAAUCUGUUGCUGUUUUAUAAAGCUUGGAACAAGGGUACGAAGAAAUUGGAGGGAUUUAUCUUCUUUAAAGCAUCAAACCGUGAACAGAUUUAGCUAGAGGGUAUAUUCGAGUGUGCUCAAAAAGAUUUGUCGAUGAGGCGUCCGACGGUCCACGCGGGGUUAGGAUCACAGGGGAAUUAUAAUGAAACUGAUGGACGUUUAUCAUACAAAAUGAUUGAACAGACAGGGACGAUGAAAAGAUUCAUCUAUUUUGAAAGUAAUACCAUUAGCACGGGAAUAUUUUUAAAUUAUACGUGAAAUAGAAAGUCCACGUCACGUUAUUGUUAUUCCAUCGAUUUAAAUUAAAUAACCAUUCGAUAUAAUUAGAAAGGGAGAAGUUCAAUACAUUCUAUAUUUCAAACUGUUUUCCGUAAUAUUCACGACAUAUACAUAAAAAAUAGUUGUAAUACUUAAUUAGAGUUUUUCUUAAGUAUUGAUAUUUGGAUGAAAUAAUUUAGUGCGUAACGUUAAUUAUCCAUUUAGUAUGUUAUGAAAGGAAUUUCGUGAUAGUGGAUGUCCGUAAUACGUUCUCCCAUAUUUAUCGUCAAGUACGUUCGUGUAAACCUUUCUCUAUUAUCUCUCUCCAUGUACGUGUGCUCUUUUGCGCGUCUAUCGGCAUCGGGUCGAGUGGUUUGCAUUGAAUGUGCGUGUGUACGUAGAACUCCUGCCUUAUUUUGAUAAUAAGGAAGGUAUUUUUUCAUUUGUUUUCCUGUCAUCAAACCAAGCAAACAAUAGGAGAUUGGCUGUAUAAAUCAAUGACCUAUUUAGAUUCAUUGUUUGAUAACAAGCUUACUUAUUUUGCAGAACAAUAGCCUAUUUUUUUAGGAACCAAUUGAUUUGGAACCUUAUAAACGAUAUAUUAGAUAAUUAGAAGUGUAAUGGUAUUAUUGUUUUGCAUUCACCAAUAGGGAGUAACUUUCCGGAACAAUUUAUCCGUUCAUAUUGAAGAAUCAUACCAGCCGUGGUAUAUCGAUCCGCUAAAGACAAAUGAAAUCAUACAGCUAAAUAGAUAAUUGAAUUAUACCGCUAAUCGUCUUAUCGCAUUGUCUGCUUGGUUUGAUGAGGGGAGAACUAAUGAAAAAAUACCAUCCUUAUUUUCAAAAUAAGAGAGGAGAUGUACGCAAUCACGCGCACUCAUUUCCAUCCACUUGACUGGAGCACGUAAACGCGCAUGUGCACGGAGAAGGGUAGUAAUAAAUCGUUCAAUAUGAUGGUGCUGAACGAUAGGUAGGAGAGAAGGUAUUCCUCAACGAGCAAAUCGUUAAAUGCCGAUCAAUACUUGUUAACAGGGGAAUUUGUAGGCAUGGAGAAUCAUAUAUUUUUGCAGAAAAAUCACAAUUUUGUCCAUUAUAAUUUUCCAUGAUGUCUGUGAUAAAUGUUGAAUCAAUUCUUUUCCAACAUUAUCAUCCCCUCGCAUUAUGUGUGAAGUCUUUUCGUUCUUUUGUUGGAUGUAAUAACUAUCACUCCUAUCGUUUUCUUCCCGAUUAAUAUUUCUUUUUUCUAACAUGUCUGUAUUAAUGUUUGUCUUUAAUCCAAAAUUCCCCUUCGAUAAUACUUAUGGCACGAAACUUACUCGUGUUUGGAAAUUUUGCCAUUCUCUUAAUGUAAAAGAAAUAAGUAAGUAAACGGAUUGGUAGUCUCUAAUUGUAUAUUACGAAAUCACGAAAGGAUAUAAGCCGAAAGAAUAUUACUUCUCUGAUUGUUUGACUUAUUAGUCCAGUUAUCUAUCUAUUCCACUAGAUGUUUCGAUACGAAACGAGUACAGCUUCGCAAAUCUCUCCUGUGUUUCAUGAUUGCUUGUUCACUCCAUCAAAUAUCACUGCAUCGUUCGAGGCGUACUCGCGUACCAUUGCAGACAAGUCCUUAUCGCUCUCUUUAAGUGGUUUAGAGAAGCUCUCAGACCGUUGUGAACGUACUUCUUUUUCGUAAUAUCGACUGAUAUACUUUUCAUAUUACUUGUUUAUUUGACCAUUUCUUGAUUAACUAACUGAUUGGUUCUCUCGGAGGGGAAAUACGGGAAAGAGGGGAAGGUAAUAUUAGGAAUCCAUAAAUGUGACGAAAUAUUUUCUCCGUAUUCGUUUUUUAUUAUCAUGGAAUAGCGAAAAUGCUAUCUUCGAUAACUUGAGCAAUAUGCAUUUGUUUACAAGAAAAGGAAAUAAUAUUUGGAGAAAAUGUUUUCAUGCAAUAUGGCAGUAGAUAUAACUUCCGUCGAAAAAAUUUUUUAAGACGGAUGAUUGUACUAUAAGAAUUACAUAGUAUAUACGUAGUACGAAAAUUGAUAGUGAUAUCAUUAUGAAUAAUAGAAUACUGGUAAUAGAAUACUAUUAAGUAUAAGUCAGACUUACGAAAAAAAUAAGAGUGCGAAUUUCCUAUAUUAAUAUCCGAUUAACUUCAUAAGAAUUAGUCUUCAUAAUUACAAUAAUUAUUAUUCUAAUAAUUAAUUAUAUUAUAAAUAAUUACAGUUUUAUGUGAUUCUUUCAAUUAAAAAUAGACAAAUUAUUGUAAGAUUCUCAUUAGUAAAUUCUAUGAUACAUUACACAGAUAAUUUCGCGGGAACAUAGAGUAUAUAUACAUAUAAUUUCAUAACUAUAGGAGAGGGGAAAUUAUUUAUCCCCAUGCGUUCUAGUUAGAGAAUUAGAUUUUAGGAAGCUUGAUCUUCUAUCGUAAUGGCAUAGGACUAAUUUAACUAGGAGAAGUCAUUUCUUCCGUGACUUUCGACCCAGUAAUACGCAAGGGUGUGUUAUACGCGAAAUAAUCCCUAGCUCUCAUACGUCCGAAAGACAAGCUUAUAAGCAAUAAAUACCGUUGAAACACCAUUAUAGCUAGUCAAUCUAUUAUUCCAUCAAUAUACUUUAAAUUCAGUAGUAGCCAUUUGUGUAAGAUUUAUUAGAAAAUUUCAUUUAUGUAUUCUAGAAAUUACCGGAUAAUUACUCCAAUUCGGGUUUCAUACCAUUUGGAAUAUUUGUGAUAAAUUCACUUAUAAAUAAAAAUACUUUCUUCGAUUGUAUACAAUGUGCCAAAUGUUUGAAAAAUUAAUAUAAAAUAUACCUAUGAUAUAGAUUAUAUAUUCUACAUUACAUUUUAGAAUAAAAAAUAUAUCUAAUCUCUUAAAUAUCUUACCAUUAAAUAAACAGCAUUGAUUGAUCUUCCAUUCAAACAUAAAUGUAAGAAGGUUCGACAACUACCGAAUGAAUGACGUACAGCUUCAUCGCCGUCCUCCGAACGGCGGUAUUUAUACCCCGCACAACGCUUUGGGAUGUUAACCGAGCGAAAACUAUGGCAACCUCUGCGCAGGGUUAUUACACUUGACGUAGAUUAAUCAAUAUAUGGAAAGAAUCAAGAUGGUCAUAAUCUAUGAGGAAAUGAAUUUCUCUGUUGAUCUCUAUUAAUUAGAUGUAUCAUUAUCCUUUUUUUUCUAUGCUCUUCUGUCUUUUCUAUUUUCUCCUCCUUCCCUUUACAAUUUGAAAUUAGAAAUAAAUUACAGAAUUCUGAAAAUUGCCAAAUGUUUUUUCCUGUUUUUGUCGUUAAAAAUAUUUAUGUAUAAGAUUUAAUUUGGAGCAAAGAAUAUUGUUUGACAAUUUUUUUUGUAAUAUCAUUUUCAUUUCUUUUUCUAUUACUGAAGAUAAUAAUCUCUUUUUUACACAUCUGUGUUUUUUUAUAACGCAUUAGUAAAGAGUAUGGAUUCAUACAAAAUCAUUUGUCACUUUUUUUUCCUAAUAUCAUCUUUAUCUCUUCUACGUAUUUUAUUUGGUCACCAUUUACGUAAGUCAAUCAAAAUUUCCUAUUACGCGAUUGAAUGACUCGGAAAGGCUUAAUUGGAUAUGGAUUGGGGGGAAAUGAAUUUCUCGAUGAAGAUAGAUUUACCGACAGAUAGAUUUAUUGAAGGGUCGUCCGACGUUGCACGAGGAACGUGGAUCAUAGAGUCUUGAAAUGAACCUGAGGGUGGUAUAUUUUGCAAAAUGAUUCAACACGUAGGGACGAUAAAAAGCUCUACCGUUGUUCGGGAGCUCGAAUUCUCAUGUAAAGAUUCAUUCGAGGCAUGUAUGUACAUUUGCGCCUGCAUUAGCGUUUUCAAGUGCCCGAGAUGAUUGUGCGAUCGUAUGAGGGAGUGAGAUUAUACCUCCUCUCGUAUUAUGGAAAGGAGAAAGGUAUUUUUUUAUUUGUUUCCCUCUCGUCAACCCAAGCGGACAAUUUAAUAAUACGAUUACUUGUAUAAUUUUGUUAUCUACUUAGAUGGAACAUUUAAUUAUCCUAUUAGGUCUUUUACAGAGCUAUGUACCGCGUGACUAAUUCAGUUCUCAGGUAGAUUCGUAGAAUUAUAUCGUCUACAUUUUCCUAAAGAUUUACUCCUGAUUGGUGAAUUUAAAAAGUUAUCAAAUUAUACUUUUAGUUAUACAAUAAUUCGUGCACUGCGUUUUUCUGUUAAUUAACUCGAAGCAAAAUGUUAUAUUCUUCCAAUCGGUUACUUUUCAUUGCGUAUGACUGAGGAUAACAAUAAUUUUAUUCUAUUUCUAGUAACAUGAUAUUCGUAUUAUUCGAAUAUAUUGCUGGAAUCUUUUAAUUUCUCAAUAAGCGCAUAUGAAAUUUAACAUGGACAUAAUAAUUCCCUCAUUAUAAUAGAGGUUAAUUAUACUUAUUAAUAUGAUUAUUAUUAUACUUAUUAUUAUUGUAUCUAUUAUUAUAUCAAAACAUAAGUUAUAAAUGUU